CGGGGUAUAGUGUAACGGCUAGCACGAGUCCUUUGGGAGGAUUUAGUCUCGGUUCGAAUCCGAGUACCCCGACAA
rnacentral:tRNA from 3 species